rnacentral:rRNA from 1 species
UACGUAGGGUGCGAGCGUUGUCCGGAAUUAUUGGGCGUAAAGAGCGUGUAGGCGGCUCGGUAAGUCCGCUCUGAAAGCCCGGGGCUCAACCCCGGGAGGCGGGCGGAUACUGUCGGGCUAGAGUCCGGAAGAGGCGAGUGGAAUUCCUGGUGUAGCGGUGAAAUGCGCAGAUAUCAGGAGGAACACCAAUGGCGAAGGCAGCUCGCUGGGACGGUACUGACGCUGAGACGCGAAAGCGUGGGGAGCAAACAGG